GUAAACAGUCACACGUGAAUAUUUCAAGAAAUCUGGUUUCUUCAUCAACAAAACACAUAGAACAUGGAUGGGUCGAGUAUUGUUUCCAUGUAUGGACGAUGAAAUUUCAAUAAGAUAAGUAAAUUAUUUAAUUGAUACAUAUGAACAGGAUCAGCAAAAUCUGGGAUUGUCGAAUAGAAAUUCUAUGUAAGCAGCACAACAAUAGUUCAUUGAUAAUGAUUUGAUGAACACUGACAAGAGAUAUAAUUUGCUUACAUUUACCUGUGGCUGUCGUUGAAAUGGCGGAACUGUACGUACAUCGUGCCUAACGCCUUAAGUUAUUUUCCCGCCUCAUUACAUUCUGAAUUUAAAUCCAAACAUGGCGUUCAUCACUGGUACAAUUUAAUCCAAAACGGGUUGCAUAGGAUCACGUUAUGCUACCACAUGCGUUCAGAGGACUGUAUUUCAUUUCGAGCCUUCCCGCCAAGUCUUCAGUUUCGCGAUACUUGUUGUAUUCCACAAUUCUCUGAGCUCAUGACUAUAUGAAGGGUCACAGGCAACACUUGCUCUCCUGAUUAAAGAGAAAAGAAAAACUACUGAGGUCAAAUAUCAACACAGCGUGAUUUUAAUUUAUCUUUCCCUGAGACUGGCGAAGAUUUAAUUAUCAAAAGACCCAAAAUUAAUUCUCAUACAAUAUUUCGAUCAAAAAGAUUAUAAUCAUGAGCUGAAACAAGGAACUGAUGCAGAUUUGAAACGAAAACUUAAAUGUUAAAACCAAAAACAAAAACAAGAACAGACAACUCGCUUGGUUUCGGUUAAAGCACGCACAAAGCCUGACAUUUUUGGAGGAGCAAGUCAGUUACAUCGACCCCAGUGCUCAAAUGGUACUUAUUUUAUCGAUCCCGAAGGAUGAAAGCAAAGUCAACCUCGCCAGAAUUUGAACUCAGAAUAUAAGACGGACGAAAUGCCGCUAAGAAUUUUGUCCGGCGAACAAACUAUCCUGCUAAUUCACCGCCUUACUGUUACUAUUAAUGUUGAGUUUAUGGAAAUUGUUCUACUUUCUUUGGAUCACCGCUUAGACUAAUUUUCCUGGACUAUGGCUAUCAACAUUUCCUGAGUAUCAUCAUUCAAUUUUGGGAAGAUAUUCUCAACCAAAUUUUAAAGAUAAAAAAAUUUAUAACGACGGGAUAACAAGUAAUAAAAGAGUUUGCACUUUCGACACUUUCUCUUCGCUUCCAAUAAAAGUUCUGAAGCUGACAAAGUCGCGCGAGGUAUUUCUGCAGUGUCCAGAGACGGUGCCAUUACUGAUAGAACUGCACGAAAAUGGUUUUUACGUUUCAAAGACGGGAAAUUCAACUUCCCAGAGACUCUGAAAUCCGGUCGAACUUUUAAAAUCCAUAAGGAUGGAUCAAAGGAGGUCAUCCCGAAGGAUCUUCUCCAAUCCAGUGGGGAAUUCGCCAAGCUGAUACAAUGCGUCGGGAUAGUCACGGCUGGAAUGCUCUGAUUAUAAGUAUUACAUUAACCUAUAUAUUAUUGGUAAAUUAGGAAUAAUUCCAUUUAUCCAUUUUUAUGAAAUAUCACUAUGUGCUAUCAACAAUUUGCUUAAUACUGAUGAAAGCUUUUAUAUUAGAUGUGAU